AGUGAACGCUGGCGGCAGGCCUAACACAUGCAAGUCGAGCGGCAGCGCGGGGGCAACCCUGGCGGCGAGCGGCGGACGGGUGAGGAAUUCGUCGGAAUCUGCCUUUUUGUGGGGGAUAACGUAGGGAAACUUACGCUAAUACCGCAUACGUCCUACGGGAGAAAGUGGGGGACCGCAAGGCCUCACGCAGAAAGAUGAGCCGACGACCGAUUAGCUAGUUGGUGGGGUAAAGGCCCACCAAGGCGACGAUCGGUAGCUGGUCUGAGAGGAUGAUCAGCCACACUGGGACUGAGACACGGCCCAGACUCCUACGGGAGGCAGCAGUGGGGAAUAUUGGACAAUGGGCGCAAGCCUGAUCCAGCCAUGCCGCGUGUGUGAAGAAGGCCUUCGGGUUGUAAAGCACUUUUGUCCGGAAAGAAAUCCCUGGAGCUAAUACCUUCGGGGGAUGACGAUACCGGAAGAAUAAGCACCGGCUAACUUCGUG
rnacentral:rRNA from 1 species